rnacentral:misc_RNA from 1 species
AACGCACAUUGCGCCCGGUGGUAUUCCACCGGGCAUGCCUGUUCGAGCGUCAUGAUACCCCUCAAGGCCUUUUUUUCUAGGGCUUUGGUGUUGGAGGAAGACCUUUGUAACGAAAAGGUCCCCUCCUAAAUACAGUGGCGGGCUCGCUAGAAUUUUGAGCGUAGUAAUUUUUACCUCGUUUAUGAAAACUAGCGUGGUCUUUCCCAGCCGUAAAACCCCCCCCAUCUUUAUUGGAUUGACCUCGAAUCAGGUAGGAAUACCCGCUGAACUUAA